CACAGAGGGAACAUUACCCACGUCACUUUGCAUUUCGUGAAAAUAUAAUGAAUUUAAUUGAUGUAGAACAGCUUUCCUGGAUAAAUCCAACAACACGUAUUUUGGUUUCCUGAAAACAAAACAACCCAAAAAACCCAAGCGAAACAAAACUCUUCUUCUCCGCGGGCCGCCCAGCCUGGGCUUCUUUGCAUACGUGCUUUUAGGAGAGGCUUGCAGACUGCCUGUGUUCUGCACGGCCACCACCGACACUUAACAUUCAUUAAAUCAUAAUGACCCAGGAGGCCUGGAGUUUUCUGCUGCUCCUGGGUCUGUGCCUUCCUUAAGUGACCUUGGACGAAUCUCUUCCCCCCCUCGCGUCCGAUGGCCGUACAUCCGUUUCAGGCCACUGUUCAUGACCGAGAUGCUCUACAAAAGCUUCAGGUUGCGCCCCGCAGGGAGUGCCCUCCGCCGUCUGCCGGCUGUCCGCAGGACACGCGUCCUGGAAGCCUGCGCACGGUGGUGGAGCGUCGGCAGGACCCUCCCGGGCCGGCCCAGGUACCCGAAGGCCACCGGAGCCCCAAGGCUCAAGGCAGCCGGCCCCAAACCGCAUUUCCCGCCUCGCCGCCGGCCGCCGGGGAGUUCGGCGGGAGCCGCGGCCACCGGGUCGCCCGCUCCGGCGGUGCCAGCGCACGGCGCGGCGGAGGCCCGGGCGGCCGGCGGCGGCCGCGCAUUGUUGUCGGGCUCGCCGAGCACAGCCAUCUUGCAUCAGGCGUCCGGCCCCGGCCCCGCGCCGCCACCUGCGGGGAAAGUUGAGCGCGGGCGGGCCGGGCGGCCCCGGAGCUCCGGCGGGCCGCGCGGCCCCGGGGGCGCCCCCGGCCGGCCGCGGCCUCUGUCCCGCUGCCGCCACCGCCGCUCGGGGCGCCCCCUCCCCCACCCCAUCCCUCCCCCGCCGCCGCCCGCAGGCCGGGCGUUCACCGGCCGCGCCCGGGCCGCCGCCCCUCCCCCACAGCUCCUGGGCGCCCGGACCCCGGGCUCCCGGCGCGGGAUGACGUGGGCGCGGCGGGGAGGGGAUUGGGGGGGGAGGACGGGCCGGGCGCGGGAGCCGGCCCCGGGGCGCGCGGGUGGACGGGCCGACAGGCGGGCGGCCGGCCGUCGCGGCGGGAGCCGGCGGCCCUUCGGCACGUCUUUUGUGUUUGUACACACUCGGCGCGAGGAGGCCGGGGGGAGGGAGCGGGCGGCGCGCGGGGGAGGGGCGAGCGCGCGCCAGCGAACGGGCGCGCGGGGGGAGGGGAGGGGGCGGGGCGUGAGCGGGGGCUGGGGGCGGGGCCGAGCCUUCCCUCCAUUGUGUGUGAUUGGCUGGCGCGCGGCGCGGGGGCGGGGCGGCGUGUGUUGGGGGAUAGCCUCGGUGUCAGCCAUCUUUCAAUUGUGUUCGCAGCCGCCGCCGCGCCGCCGUCGCUCGCCAACGCCAGCGCCGCCUCUAGCUCGCCGAGCUCCAGCCCAAGGAGAAGGGGGGUAA
ensembl:lncRNA